UUAGGGUGAACUGGUUGCGACAUCUGUCACCCCAUUGAUCGACAGGGUUGAUUCUGCUGAUCCUGCUGGCUAGGCGGGUGUCCCCUUCCUCCCUCAAUGAUCCAUGCGCGUCCUUCCCGAAGUUGCGCGCUUGGUUGAAGAGGACAACCACCCCAGAUAGAGGAGGACCGUUCCUCGGUCAAGGGUAUACAAGUAGCUGCGUUCCCCUUCUAGAACCUCCAAACAAGCUCUUAGAAAUAUAUUGAAUAGGAAUGAUGAUAGUGGACUUUCUUUUCUUGUUCCUGAUUUAAAAUUGAAAGCUUUCAGUUUUUUGCAUUUA
ensembl:misc_RNA 7SK 7SK RNA